rnacentral:misc_RNA from 1 species
UCCUGCUUAACGCCGGCAGUCCCUUUAGAGUGCCCAGCUUUACCUGAUGGCAACUAAAGGCAAGGGUUGCGCUCGUUGCGGGACUUAACCCAACAUCUCACGACACGAGCUGACGACAGCCAUGCAGCACCUGAUCCACCGGUCCCCGAAGGGAAGAUCCUAUCUCUAGGACAGUCCGCCGUUGUCUAGCCCAGGUAAGGUUCUUCGCGUUGCGUCGAAUUGAACCACAUGCUCCGCCGCUUGUGCGGGCCCCCGUCAAUUCCUUUGAGUUUCACCCUUGCGAGCGUACUCCCCAGGUGGGUCACUUAAUGCGUUAGCGUCGAUACCGAAGGGGUCGAAUCCCCCGACAUCUAGUGACCAUCGUUUACGGUGCGGACUAC